rnacentral:rRNA from 1 species
AGAGCGAACGCUGGCGGCAGGCCUAACACAUGCAAGUCGAGCGCCCGUAGCAAUACGGGAGCGGCAGACGGGAUAGUAACACGUGGGAACGCGCCCUUCGGUUCGGAAUAACUCAGGGAAACUUGAGCUAAUACCGAAUACGCCCUUACGGGGAAAGAUUUAUUGCCGAAGGAACGGCCCGCGUCCGAUUAGCUAGCUGGUGGGGUAAUGGCCCACCAAGGCGACGACGGGUAGCU